UGGGGAAUUUUGGACAAUGGGCGAAAGCCUGAUCCAGCAAUGCCGCGUGUGUGAAGAAGGCCUUCGGGUUGUAAAGCACUUUUGUCCGGAAAGAAAUCCUUGGCUCUAAUACAGUCGGGGGAUGACGGUACCGGAAGAAUAAGCACCGGCUAACUACGUGCCAGCAGCCGCGGUAAUACGUAGGGUGCAAGCGUUAAUCGGAAUUACUGGGCGUAAAGCGUGCGCAGGCGGUUUGCUAAGACCGAUGUGAAAUCCCCGGGCUCAACCUGGGAACUGCAUUGGUGACUGGCAGGCUAGAGUAUGGCAGAGGGGGGUAGAAUUCCACGUGUAGCAGUGAAAUGCGUAGAGAUGUGGAGGAAUACCGAUGGCGAAGGCAGCCCCCUGGGCAAUACUGACGCUCAUGCACGAAAGCGUGGGGAGCAAAACAGGAUUAGAUACCCCUGGUAGUCCACGCCCUAAAACGAUGUCAACUAGUUGUUGGGGAUUCAUUUCCUUAGUAACGUAGCUAACGCGUGAAGUUGACCGCCUGGGGAGUACGGUCG
rnacentral:rRNA from 1 species